rnacentral:rRNA from 1 species
CUCCCGCCGGCGACCGGCGCACGGGUGAGUAACACGUAUGAAACCUGCCCGUAGCAGGGGGAUAAGCGGAAGAAAUUCCGUCUAAUACCGCGUAACAACCCGAGGAGGCAUCUCCUCGGGUUUAAAGGAAGCGAUUCCGGCUACGGAUGGUCAUGCGUCGCAUUAGCUAGUUGGCGGGGUAACGGCCCACCAAGGCGACGAUGCGUAGGGGUUCUGAGAGGAAGGUCCCCCACACUGGUACUGAGACGCGGACCAGACUCCUACGGGAGGCAGCAG